CUGGUGGGCAUGCGCAGCAGUGCACGCGCGCCGUUGUUCGUUAAAUUAAAAUAAUGAGCCGAUUCUGAUUCAGUAGCUCAGAGCUUCGGUACAGACUGAGAGAAACACGACGGAAAAGAAAAAAGAAACAUUUUCAGAGAAGAGGGAGUGAGGAGAAAAGCAGAACAAGGAGAGAGUGUUAAAGCAACAAUGACAUGUAUUCAACAUUGGUUUAAAGGGUCCUGAAGCAAUGCAUGAGAUGGCAGUGUCACGACAUCAACUGGAGAAAACUUUGAGUGGAAAGUGUGUGUGGUGAGGGGGGUCAAACAUCAGCUCCUGUCGUCCGUGGCAAAUAAGUGUUCACUCAUCGCUGCAGCUGCAUCGCCG